rnacentral:miRNA from 1 species
CAUGCUGAUUGUGACGUAA